rnacentral:rRNA from 1 species
CGCUGGCGGCAGGCCUAACACAUGCAAGUCGAGCGGUAGAGAGAAGCUUGCUUCUCUUGAGAGCGGCGGACGGGUGAGUAAUGCCUAGGAAUCUGCCUGGUAGUGGGGGAUAACGUUCGGAAACGGACGCUAAUACCGCAUACGUCCUACGGGAGAAAGCAGGGGACCUUCGGGCCUUGCGCUAUCAGAUGAGCCUAGGUCGGAUUAGCUAGUUGGUGAGGUAAUGGCUCACCAAGGCGACGAUCCGUAACUGGUCUGAGAGGAUGAUCAGUCACACUGGAACUGAGACACGGUCCAGACUCCUACGGGAGGCAGCAGUGGGGAAUAUUGGACAAUGGGCGAAAGCCAGAUCCAGCCAUGCCGCGUGUGUGAAGAAGGUCUUCGGAUUGUAAAGCACUUUAAGUUGGGAGGAAGGGUUGUAGAUUAAUACUCUGCAAUUUUGACGUUACCGACAGAAUAAGCACCGGCUAACUCUGUGCCAGCAGCCGCGGUAAUACAGAGGGUGCAAGCGUUAAUCGGAAUUACUGGGCGUAAAGCGCGCGUAGGUGGUUUGUUAAGUUGGAUGUGAAAUCCCCGGGCUCAACCUGGGAACUGCAUUCAAAACUGACUGACUAGAGUAUGGUAGAGGGUGGUGGAAUUUCCUGUGUAGCGGUGAAAUGCGUAGAUAUAGGAAGGAGCACCAGUGGCGAAGGCGACCACCUGGACUAAUACUGACACUGAGGUGCGAAAGCGUGGGGAGCAAACAGGAUUAGAUACCCUGGUAGUCC